UAUGUCCAGUAGGGUCUCGAGCUCGUCCGGUGAGUGCACCAAUAGAGCAAUGUCAUCUGCAUACAUCAGUGCUGGGACCCGCGUCGUCACUGCCUGCCCCUGCUCCUUGU
rnacentral:lncRNA from 1 species